rnacentral:rRNA from 3 species
AGUCAAGUAAUUAAGUGCAUGUGGUGGAUGCCUUGGCAGUCAGAGGCGAUGAAAGACGUGAUAGCCUGCGAAAAGCUCCGGGGAGGCGGCAAAUAUCCUUUGAUCCGGAGAUGUCUGAAUGGGGGAACCCACCUACUUUAAGGUAGGUAUUGCAACAUGAAUACAUAGUGUUGCAAGGCGAACGAGGGGAAGUGAAACAUCUCAGUACCCUUAGGAAAAGAAAUCAAUUGAGAUUCCCUCAGUAGCGGCGAGCGAACGGGGAUCAGCCCAUUAAGUUAUGUGUGUUUUAGUGGAACGCUCUGGGAAGUGCGAACGUAGAGGGUGAUAUUCCCGUACACGAAAGGGCACACAUAAUGAUGACGAGUAGGGCGAGGCACGUGAAACCUUGUCUGAAUAUGGGGGGACCAUCCUCCAAGGCUAAAUACUCCUGACUGACCGAUAGUGAACCAGUACCGUGAGGGAAAGGCGAAAAGAACCCCUGUGAGGGGAGUGAAAUAGAUCCUGAAACCGCAUGCAUACAAGCAGUGGGAGCACCUUUGUGGUGUGACUGCGUACCUUUUGUAUAAUGGGUCAGCGACUUAUAUUCAGUAGCGAGGUUAACCGUAUAGGGGAGCCGUAGAGAAAUCGAGUCUUAAUAGGGCGUUUAGUUGCUGGGUAUAGACCCGAAACCAGGCGAUCUAUCCAUGAGCAGGUUGAAGGUUGGGUAACACUAACUGGAGGACCGAACCCACUGUCGUUGAAAAGCCAGGGGAUGACUUGUGGAUAGGGGUGAAAGGCUAAUCAAGCCUGGUGAUAGCUGGUUCUCCCCGAAAGCUAUUUAGGUAGCGCCUCGGACGAAUACCAUAGGGGGUAGAGCACUGUUUCGGCUAGGGGGUCAUCCCGACUUACCAAACCGAUGCAAACUCCGAAUACCUAUGAGUACUAUCCGGGAGACAGACUGCGGGUGCUAACGUCCGUAGUCAAGAGGAAAACAAUCCAGACCGCCAGCUAAGGCCCCAAAAUCAUAGUUAAGUGGGAAACGAUGUGGGAAGGCAUAGACAGCUAGGAGGUUGGCUUAGAAGCAGCCACCCUUUAAAGAAAGCGUAAUAGCUCACUAGUCGAGUCGGCCUGCGCGGAAGAUGUAACGGGGCUAAAACUAUGUGCCGAAGCUGCGGAUGUAUACUUUGUAUACGUGGUAGGGGAGCGUUCUGUAAGCCGAUGAAGGUGUGUUGAGAAGCAUGCUGGAGGUAUCAGAAGUGCGAAUGCUGACGUGAGUAACGACAAAACGGGUGAAAAACCCGUUCGCCGAAAGACCAAGGGUUCCAGUCCAACGUUAAUCGGGGCUGGGUGAGUCGACCCCUAAGGCGAGGCCGAAAGGCGUAGUCGAUGGGAAAAUGGUUAAUAUUCCAUUACUUCUGUGUAAUGCGAUGAGAGGACGGAGAAGGCUAAAUCAGCCUGGCGUUGGUUGUCCAGGUGAAAGGAUGUAGGCAUGUAUCUUAGGCAAAUCCGGGGUACUCUAUGCUGAGAUCUGAUAGCAAGCUGUACUUGUACAGCGAAGUGGUUGAUGCCAUGCUUCCAGGAAAAGUCUCUAAGCUUCAGUUACACAGGAAUCGUACCCGAAACCGACACAGGUGGUCAGGUCGAGUAGACCAAGGCGCUUGAGAGAACUCUGCUGAAGGAACUAGGCAAAAUGGUACCGUAACUUCGGGAGAAGGUACGCUGUUGUUGGUGAUGGAACUCGCUUCCUGAGCUGACGACAGCCGCAGAAACCAGGCCGCUGCAACUGUUUAUUAAAAACAUAGCACUCUGCAAACACGAAAGUGGACGUAUAGGGUGUGAUGCCUGCCCGGUGCUGGAAGGUUAAUUGAUGGGGUUAGCGUAAGCGAAGCUCUUGAUCGAAGCCCCAGUAAACGGCGGCCGUAACUAUAACGGUCCUAAGGUAGCGAAAUUCCUUGUCGGGUAAGUUCCGACCUGCACGAAUGGCAUAAUGAUGGCGGCGCUGUCUCCAGCAGAGGCUCAGUGAAAUCGAAAUCGCUGUGAAGAUGCAGUGUACCCGCGGCUAGACGGAAAGACCCCGUGAACCUUUACUGCAGCUUGACACUGAACUUUGACCUUACUUGUGUAGGAUAGGUGGGAGGCUUUGAAGCUGGAACGCUAGUUCCAGUGGAGCCGUCCUUGAAAUACCACCCUGGUAAUGUUGAGGUUCUAACUCUGUCCCGUGAUCCGGGACGAGGACCGUGUCUGGUGGGUAGUUUGACUGGGGCGGUCUCCUCCUAAAGAGUAACGGAGGAGUACGAAGGUGCGCUCAGCGUGGUCGGAAAUCACGCGUAGAGUAUAAAGGCAAAAGCGCGCUUAACUGCGAGACCCACAAGUCGAGCAGGUACGAAAGUAGGUCUUAGUGAUCCGGUGGUUCUGUAUGGAAGGGCCAUCGCUCAACGGAUAAAAGGUACUCUGGGGAUAACAGGCUGAUACCGCCCAAGAGUUCAUAUCGACGGCGGUGUUUGGCACCUCGAUGUCGGCUCAUCUCAUCCUGGGGCUGAAGCAGGUCCCAAGGGUAUGGCUGUUCGCCAUUUAAAGAGGUACGCGAGCUGGGUUUAGAACGUCGUGAGACAGUUCGGUCCCUAUCUACCGUGGGCGCUGGAAAUUUGAGAGGAUCUGCUCCUAGUACGAGAGGACCAGAGUGGACGAACCUCUGGUGUACCGGUUGUGACGCCAGUCGCAUCGCCGGGUAGCUAUGUUCGGAAGGGAUAACCGCUGAAAGCAUCUAAGCGGGAAGCCUACCUCAAGAUAAGAUUUCCCUAGGACUUUAUGUCCUCUAAAGAGCCGUUCGAGACUAGGACGUUGAUAGGUUGGAUGUGGAAGCAUAGUGAUAUGUGAAGCUGACCAAUACUAAUUGCUCGUGAGGCUUGACUAU